GUGGGGAAUAUUGGGCAAUGGGCGCAAGCCUGACCCAGCAACGCCGCGUGAGGGAAGAAGGUCUUCGGAUUGUAAACCUCUGUCCUUGGGGACGAAAAAAAUGACGGUACCCAAGGAGGAAGCUCCGGCUAACUACGUGCCAGCAGCCGCGGUAAUACGUAGGGAGCGAGCGUUGUCCGGAAUUACUGGGCGUAAAGGGUGCGUAGGCGGCAUGGCAAGUCAGAUGUGAAAUCCCCGGGCUUAACUCGGGGGGUGCAUUUGAAACUGCUGUGCUUGAGUGCAGGAGAGGAAAGCGGAAUUCCUAGUGUAGCGGUGAAAUGCGUAGAUAUUAGGAGGAACACCAGUGGCGAAGGCGGCUUUCUGGACUGUAACUGACGCUGAGGCACGAAAGCGUGGGGAGCAAACAGGAUUAGAUACCCCAGUAGUCC
rnacentral:rRNA from 1 species